rnacentral:lncRNA from 1 species
AACACGAUUUUUUUCUAAAAAUUAAGGAUUUUCGUAAAUAGAAACGAUUUUACCUAAAUUGAUUGGUUAUAAAAGUUUACGUUAAGAGACAAGUUUUAAAGCAAAUCAACUAGAUUUUUUAGAAUUAAAUAAAAGCUAACUUAUUGUAACGGUUUUUGAACUCGACAAUCUUGUCUUUAAAUUCCUUUUCAUGUGAUAUCACCAGAUUUAACCACAACGUCUAGGUCGGG